UUUGCCUUGCGUCCUGCAUUUGGGUCCUCCAACCUGCUCAACCCUGCCUUCACCUCAAAACCGUGACAAGGAAAAGCUGUCUGCAGGAUCAAAGGAGCCUGAAUCCUGGUGAUGGCCUGCCUUGUUUGAUGUCUUGCAAGUCAAUGUGUGUGAGUUCCAGAGGAUCAUCACACUGAAUCUUGAACCAAAAUUCACAUCAAUGUUGGACUUGUAUUCCACCAACAGCUGUCCCUGUCCAAGGCGAAGAAGGGUGCUGCAGGCGAGUGACAUCGGGCAGAUAGUGGAAUCUUCAUUCAGCAAAACAAGAGGUCAUCAUCCGAUGUCUCCUUGACCACCUGGGAGAAGAUACAAGUGCCUUGAUGAAGGACUUUGAGAAUGCAGCAAAUGCACCUGUCGGUGUUCAAGAGGAGUUGGGACGAGAGGUGAAGCUUUACCUGCUGCGGAACCAAGAUGGGUCAGUCAAAGAACCUACUGAUGUAGGGACUGAGAAUAAAGGCAUCACUGUCCUCAGACUGAUGCUAGUUGUAGGGACUAACCUAUGCCUUGGAUCUGAAAACCCCAAGAAUCUCAAAAGUUACAGUUUUGAGGUCUUCCAAAAAGUGCUGCUUCAGUGACUGAAAAAUUACCUGUGUACCUUGCUGACUACUGUCUGGCAAGAUGCUCUUAUAAUGUGGCUGGUGGAUUGUCUUAAUGUUUACUUAAGAGAACAUUGGAUUUUGGACUGGUAUUCAGUUCUGUUGUGUAAGUGUAAGUGUAAAAAUGUUUCACCAAUAAAUUAAAGUUUAUCCCAGUAAUAGUUUUUAGAGUGUAGUUGUCCAGCGCUAAAAAGCUGCGUGAGGAAAUCAUUGCGAAGACUAAAUUUGCGUUGUAUGUGAACACAGCUAAGAGGAGGCCAGAAGAAUGUCCUUCAUACAUUUUGUAUGAGUAAACACAAAAAUGUUGAAAUGUGCUUUAAACUGGAAUUGUGUCCCUGAUUAACUUUCUAUUAGCAGAGUUGGGUCUAUAUACUUAUUGAUAUUAUAUUCCUGGUUAGCACAAGCUAAGAAAUCUAUGUACUUUAUAUUUCCUUGAUGUUAUGACAUGUAUAAUUUUAUUGUCAAAAUAACUAUUUCAGAAAACAACAUUAAAUUGUUUUCAUUUUCUGCAGAUGGCUGAUAUUUGUACUGUAAUUUAACUGUGUGGGGGUUAAAAAAGUUGGCCCUUCCUACAACCCAAAAAAUGUUGCCACCUAACUAAAUCCAGGCAGCAAUUUUGUUUCUAGCAAAAUGUAUUAAGCAAAAGAAAAUACUACACAUUAACUUAC